rnacentral:rRNA from 1 species
ACGGGAGGCAGCAGUGGGGAAUGUUGGACAAUGGGGGAAACCCUGAUCCGGCGACGCCGCGUGAGUGAAGAAGGAUUUCGGUAUGUAAAGCUCUUUAGGCAGGAAAGAAAAUGACGGUACCUGCAGAAUAAGCCCCGGCUAACUACGUGCCAGCAGCCGCGGUAAUACGUAGGGGGCAAGCGUUAUCCGGAUUUACUGGGUGUAAAGGGAGCGUAGACGGCUGUGCAAGUCUGAAGUGAAAGCCCGCGGCUUAACUGCGGGACUGCUUUGGAAACUGUAUAGCUAGAGUGUCGGAGAGGUAAGUGGAAUUCCCAGUGUAGCGGUGAAAUGCGUAGAUAUUGGGAGGAACACCAGCGGCGAAGGCGGCUUACUGGACGAUUACUGACGUUGAGGCUCGAAAGCGUGGGGAGCAAACAGGAUUAGAUACCCUGGUA